UUCAAAAUAAUUAUCACAGCGGCAUCCUCUGAAGAGAGGAAGCGCUACGAACGUGUGGGGCUAAUAACAUGCAAUACGACAUCUUUCAAAAAACCUAGGACGGCGUUGGUGUCAAAGAGUGGUUCUGGACCAAGUAACAUAACAGGAGGAAGGGGGGAUGUGCUGCCGGUAUGCUAAGAGAAAAUGUUUCUUUCUUUUAGAUUCGGCUUCCCGACACUCCAGUAGGAUGUGGAGGACGGUCAGCCUCUCACCGCAUCUACCACAGGUUGGAGGCUCGUUUCCCCAGCAAGUUUAUCCUUGCAAGGCAUUUGGGGUCAACAACAACUUUCACCAGGACAAAGUGCAAGACAAGGCAUUGAAGAAAAUAAAGUUGCUUCUGUAAUCUAA